rnacentral:rRNA from 1 species
AUGUCCGGGGCCGCACGCGCGCUACACUGAAGGAAUCAGCGUGUGCUUUCCCUGUCCGGCAGGACUGGGUAACCCGCUAAACCUCCUUCGUGAUAGGGAUAGGGGCUUGUAAUUGUUCCCCUUGAACGAGGAAUUCCCAGUAAGCGCGAGUCAUAAGCUCGCGUUGAUUACGUCCCUGCCUUUUGUGCACACCGCCCGUCGCUACUACCGAUUGAAUGAUUUAGUGAGGUCUUCGGACUGGCGCUCGGAGCGGUGCUUAGUGCCGGGCCGACGUGCCGGAAAGAUGACCAAACUUGAUCAUUUAGAGGAAUAAAAGUCGUAACAAGGUUUCC